GGGCAGUGUCUGGAAGAGGACGCUGUGAUCCAGGAGAAAUGUGGGGAGACACCACAUAGAGAAAGGCACCCAGCAAGGCAAGAAGAGCUGAUUCCAGCACAGCCAGCUGGUGGCGCUGUUGUGAAGACUGAGAUCUCACAUGGCAAUCUGGAUGAAACAGGGGAAGUUAUUAGCUGAUACCUCAGCAGUAAACUUCCAUUUGCUCAUCCCCAAUGAAAAAUGGCUUGAGCCUCUGCCCGGCCAUGCCUGGACCUCCUCUCCCUUCCCGCCUGCCUGCUCCUGCAGGAAAGCACGGGCACAGAAGCGAGCAUGCUGCACACUCCCCCAGCUCUGCCUGCAGUCCAAGUGCAACAAAUCCACAGGCAAAAAUGGAGUAGGGAUGACAUGUUCAAGGAGCAAAUGUAAUCCGCCUUCUUGCACAGGAAGUGCUUAAGCGAAUGAAGGAAUACACUGCUGUUGGAGACGAGAGUGUAGUGUGAGGACAGGAGAGUGUGUAGAGAGGUGGAAGUGAAGAAUCAGGAGACAGUCUUGAAUAUCAUGAAAGAUGUGAUGAACUGCAUGGCAGCCUUCGUGGUCAGCUACUUGCACAGGCACCCCUCCAGACCUUGCAGAACAACAUUCCUUCCUCACCAAGUUCCUGUGCUUCCUCCCCAGGGGUCUUAGGACACACAGAAGGAAGUAAAGCACAGCCUCACACUCAACUCCCAAAGGUGUGUCCAGAAGCAAAAAAUGAUUCUUCUUACAAUUUUGA